UACGUAGGGUGCGAGCGUUAAUCGGAAUUACUGGGCGUAAAGCGUGCGCAGGCGGUUCGUUGUGUCGGCGGUGAAAGCCCCGGACUCAACCUGGGAAUGGCCGUUGAAACUGGCGAACUGGAGUGUGGCAGAGGGGGGUGGAAUUCCGCGUGUAGCAGUGAAAUGCGUAGAGAUGCGGAGGAACACCGAUGGCGAAGGCAGCCCCCUGGGCCGACACUGACGCUCAGGCACGAAAGCGUGGGGAGCAAACAGG
rnacentral:rRNA from 1 species